rnacentral:rRNA from 1 species
AAGCGCUUGCAAUCAGACUUGCUUGCAGCUGAUCAUCCAGUUACUCACUGGAGCACUCGGCUGUAAUCAGGCCAGCAUCAGUUUAGACGGCUGGAUAAAGGCCUUGGGAAUGUAGCUCCCUUCGGGGAGUGUUAUAGCCCUAGGUGCAAUGCAGCCUGCCUGGACUGAGGACCGCGCUUCGGCUAGGAUGCUGGCGUAAUGGUUGUAAGCGA